CGGGCAUACGCUUUGUGUGAGAGUGCACUGGUCGAGACUCGAGAACACUUCUUUUUUGGCACAUUGCUUUGCAUUAGCAGCCUGCAGCAGCUACUCUUUCUAGAGAGGAGCCGGCCAUACAGAAGAAAAAACGCGAUUUUGCCAAUAAUUUCUUAUAACGUGAGUGGAUAACUUUUGUGGAAAAAUCCGUGUCCGUGUGUCACAUAUUCGCGAAAUAUAUGCGAAAAAUAUCGAUAAGAUUGGAAGUGACGUUUUUUUCGUGAUAAUAAAUCGUUUUCGUGACGCCAAAAAGAGGGAAAUCCUUAGUGGAAAUAACUUUCCACGCGAUCGUGCUUCUGGUGGAUUUGUCUGGAAAGACGGCGGAAUAGCGGAAAAAAAAACCGAAGCUGAGUAGUUCAUCGCGCUGUGCGUGUGUGACAUUGCGGAUAAGGUCUUGCAUCAGCACGACAUCAAAUUCUCUUUCCUGUUGUAAAGUCUGCGGAAAUCGAAAAAACUAUGCAAAUCGUUCAAGUACUUGAAAAAACCGUAUCGCCAGAUAAGGAUGAGUUGCUUGCGGCAAAGAACUACCUUGAACAGGCGGCAGCAUCUAAUCUCCCUAAUUUUCUUCGAGCGUUGUCCGAUGUGUUGGUGUUUGCCGGGAAUUCGCCGGUGGCUCGUAUGGCAGCCGGUUUGCAAUUGAAGAAUCAACUCACUAGUAAGGAUGCCAGCGUCAAGUAUCAGUCACAGGAGCGAUGGCUCUCAUUCCCAGAAGAUAUGCGAGAAUACGUAAAAAAGAAUAUCGUCGCCUCCUUGGGAACUGAAAGUACUCGACCUUCGUCAGCGGCCCAAUGCGUUGCUUAUGUCGCUGUUGCUGAGCUACCAGUUGGUCAGUGGGCUAAUUUGAUGCAGAAGCUUGUGGAUAAUGUUGUCAACGAAAAAUCCACCGAGAUGGAACGGGAAGCCACCCUCGAGGCAAUUGGUUAUAUUUGUCAAGACAUCAAUUCAGAAAUCCUUGAGCAUCAAUCGAAUCAAAUUCUAACGGCCAUUAUCCAUGGAAUGCGUAAAUCGGAACCUUCAAAUCACGUCCGAUUAGCGGCCACCAAUGCUCUGCUAAAUUCUUUAGAGUUUACUAAAGCUAACUUUGAGGAAGCGGCAGAGAGAAAUUAUAUCAUGGAGGUUGUGUGUGAGGCGACUCAAAGUUCGGAUACGCAAAUUUGUGUGGCGGCUCUUCAGUGCCUGGUGAAAAUUCUCACACUCUAUUACCAGCACAUGGAAGCAUACAUGGCACAGGCUUUGUUUCCUAUUACGCUAGAAGCAAUGAAGAGUGAUAACGAACAGGUUGCGCUGCAGGGCAUAGAGUUCUGGUCCAAUGUUAGUGAUGAGGAAAUCGAUCUGGCCAUCGAAGCCCAGGAAGCAAUGGAAGCCGGUCGACCUCCAAAUCGUGUAUCACGUCACUAUGCCCGAGGAGCACUGCAAUACCUUGCCCCGGUGUUGAUGGAAAAACUAACCCGACAAGAAGAGUUCGACGACGAAGAUGAUUGGAACCCUUCCAAGUCUGCUGGUGUGUGCCUGAUGCUUUUGGCCACAUGUUGUGAAGACGAAAUUGUUCCGCAUGUUCUGCCUUUUGUGAAUAACAACAUAAAGUCGACGAACUGGCGGUACCGUGAUGCUGCACUGAUGGUAUUUGGCUCGAUUCUUAGUGGGCUGGAGGUGAACACACUGAAACCCCUGGUGGAACAAGCGAUGCCGACAUUGAUCGAGCUAAUGUAUGACCAGAGCGUAAUCGUUAGAGACACUUGUGCGUGGACAUUUGGUCGAAUCUGCGAGGUUAUUCCCGAAGCGGCAAUCAAUGAGCAGUAUCUGGAACUUUUGCUGAAAGCUCUACUCAACGGCUUGAAAGCAGAACCCCGUGUUGCUACUAAUGUUUGUUGGGCUUUCACCGGUUUAUCGGAAGCAGCGUAUGAUGCCGCAAAUGUCGAUGACGACCCUCCACAGACAUACUGUCUGUCCCAGUACUUCGAUUUUAUUAUUAGCAAUCUGUUGGAAACGACUGACCGUCCAGACGGCGCUCAGGCUAACCUGCGUUCUUCUGCCUAUGAAGCUUUGAUGGAAAUGAUCAAAAAUUCUCCACAGGAUUGUUACGUUUCGGUACAGAAAACAACAAUGGUUAUUCUGGAACGACUCAAUCAAGUCCUGCAGAUGGAAUCACACAUUUCCACUCACAACGAUCGACACCAGUUCAACGAUUUGCAGUCGCUUCUCUGCGCCACACUUCAAUCGGUUCUGCGAAAGGUUGAUGCAAAAGACGCUCCCCAAAUAUCGGAUGCUAUUAUGACGGCUCUGUUGACCAUGUUCAGUUCAAGUUCUGGUAAAGUUGGAGGUGUUCAGGAAGAUGCCUUGAUGGCAGUAUCAACGCUGGUCGAUUUACUCGGAGAACAGUUCAUCAAGUACAUGGAUGCUUUCAGAGAAUAUCUGUAUAUGGGUUUGAAAAAUCAUCAAGAGUAUCAGGUUUGCUGCACUGCUGUCGGUCUUGCCGGAGAUAUUUGCCGGGGGCUUAAAAGCAAAAUCCUCCCAUAUUGCGACGAGAUUAUGACUCUGCUACUGGAAAAUCUCAGCAACCCUUCGAUUCAUCGGAGUGUCAAACCCCAGAUUCUAUCUGUUUUUGGCGACAUGGCACUGAGCAUUGGAGCUGACUUCAAGAAAUAUUUGACCAUUGUGUUGCAAAUGCUGACACAUGCGACACAAGUGCAGGUUGAUCCUAACGAUUACGAUAUGAUCGAUUAUCUGAACGAACUGCGAGAAAGCGUACUUGAAGCCUACACCGGAAUCGUGCAGGGUCUGAAGGGUGUCGACAAGAGUCCUCAUGACGAUGUCAAUCUGUUGCAACCGCACGUGAUGUUUAUCGUAAAUUACAUCAUCACAAUAGCAAAGGACACUGAGCUGUCAGAUGGAAACAUUGCCAUUGCGUGCGGCCUGCUAGGCGAUAUGUGCUCGGCAUUCGGACCUGAUUUGUUGCCACUAGUGGAAGAUCCUCAAAUCCAGCAGCUGUUGAACGAUGGCAAGAAUUCACGUACUAGCCGCACCAAAACACUAGCCAACUGGGCGCUGAAGGAAAUCAAAAAACUUAAGCAACCGGCGAAUGAUGCGAGUUGGCGACAUAAGUGAACUGGUAGUUAGCAAAGACAUGUAAAAUAAUAACGCGUGAUUGUAAAAGUAUGAGCGAGACAAAAGAUUGUGAUGAUUUGGGGAUGCGGCUGAAGGAGCUCUACUUGCAGUUCUAGCUAAUAACAAUGAUUAGAAAGUGUCAAGUCGUGGAAUGCUAGUUCCUUCCUGGAAAUGUUCGUCGAAGAUUUAAUUCAGCAUUAAUGGUAACACGCUCAACUACACAGCAGCCAACGGCACCACCAGCACAGUCCCAGCAAUGUAAUUCAUCUACUAUCGAACCGUUCCUGAACCCUUCCGACCGUUCGUCACUGCAAGAUGUUUCGUGUGUCCUCGAAGAUUCUGCUAGUUUUAUCGACUAUAAUGAGUCGUUCGCUUAUAACUACCAUAACAAUGAACAUCUCUGCUUCGACUUGUCGCUGCGAAUUUAGGAAUUUCCUCACGUUUUAAAUAUUCGAUUUUGAUCAAAUGGCUUCAAUUACAGUAUCACCCUACGACAAGUAAGUCCCUUACAACUACUCUUUUAUGUCUGUGAAUCGGCGGACGCUGUAUCAACGAACGGGAAGAGAGAAGAUGAGUUAUAAUACCGCAUGAUUCCAACUGUUGUCGCUGGUCGCUCCAGAGAAAUCUGAUUUGUCCCCCAGAACAGGAACUGUGUGUACAGCUAGCUAACUAACAGUGUGUAGUAGUACUAGUAGUAGCAAACUUUAGAUGAUUACUCUGUAAGUCAACUAAAUCAAACCAAUUAUUUUUCAAGCGUAGCGAGUAGAGUCUACGAGACUCCCCAACACAUACAGAAACAUAGACAUAGACACAUGCCCAUAUACAGUCCUCAUUACAAGUGAAAUCUUUCGAUCUACUAGUUGAAACGUGUGCCAUAGUGAAAUUUCCGGGUGUAUUUUCGAAAAGUGGCCUGCACAAGGUGCAAACUAUUGGGCUUCGGUAGUUCGAUUGUAAAUUUGUUGACAAAUAAAAUUGUUAUUCGUACGAUGUACAUUUUCACCGUGGCACUCGUUUUAUUAUUUUUAAUUAAUCUACAAGUAUGCAAAAUACAUUUCAAACUGCAUCAAAUUCAACCUCCACAAAUACCCAUAGUAAUAACUAGAUUUAGACCGAAACAUAUUUAACUACCGUUAAAUUGCAAGUGAUCAUGAAAUAUCCACCGGCAAAUGAAGGGGGAACGAAAUACUUCUAAUUCGACAAAUAUUACGGAACGACAGUUGGUCGAACGGCGCGUUUUCAGUUUUCCGUUUUAAAACGUCUCUGUGAGGCAAGGUCAGUUUAUUCCUAUUGGGUGGGUUCGGAGGCAUAUUGCCUUCGAGGUUUUUAAGAAAGUAAUAUAUAUUUUAAGUGUAACACGAACACAUUAAUUGCUGUAAUAUUUUUGAGGAAAGAAAUAUUUCGUUGACCUUUGUCCUUCUUUCCUUGGGCCCAAUGGUAUCUUCGAGAAAAUUAGUUUUGGGUUUCCCCGAGCAAAAAGGCAAGAAAAUAAUAAACACAAUUAUUUGCGUAUGCAUAUGAUCACAGUAUAAGAAGGAAACAAGAAAGCUUAAGAUGUAGUUUACGGUUCAACACUAUACAAUAUAUUAGAAUUAGAAGAUAAAAAUCCAAAAAAAAAACAAAAAAAGUAAGAGUCAUGCAAUUACACGAAAGUAAUGGUAAAUUAGUACGAGGAACGAUUGCGUGCGAUUUGUGGAUUUGCGAUCUUAGCUUCGGUUGCUUGCUGUGGUGAGACGCUGAAUAAAAUGUAAAACGAAAUGAACGGAACAAACAAAACCUCAUUCGUAACGACGAACGAAUCGAGAUGGAUUGACGAGUUGGUGUGAUACAGGGAAUGCUAUGUGUGAAAUUGUUUGGUUUUCACUCACUUAAUUUGAUCAUUCUGGUAUUGUUGGAGACAAACUGGAGCAGACCGAGUAUACAAAGAUUUUUCUAAGGACAAUCUUGGCGUUUAACGAACAUUCUCGAAGUUUAAUCCUUUCCAUAAUGUUUGUUACGUUUCGGAUGAUAAUAAUUUAUAACACAUUCUGUAACUAUAACUAAUUCAAUAGUACGAUCCUAUGGACAAGAGUUCGAAUAUGUUAUUACAAAAUUAAUUUGUAUGGUUUAAAACGCACAAAGUUGAAAAAUAAACCUUCCAUCGUUGAACUAAUAGAACCUUUACCUGUAAUUAUCAUAAACUGACCUAUCGACCGACUGAAAUUCGACUGAACAAUGAAUAGAAUCCAUACCAAUAGACGAUACUAAAGAUAUGCUGUGUGGGCCUGGAAGCGGGAACGAUGUUGAGAUCGUUAUAUUUGUUAAUCUUAUUUUUGUAGUUCGUACGCGUGAAACGCUGUACUUGUGCCUGUGCGUGUGUGUGGGUGAAGCGAAAACAAAACGGAUGUGAUACAUUUGGAUGGAACCUUUUGUCUACGUAUUUCAAUUGUAACCAGAACGAAGUGUGAUAUUUUCUGACAACGCGUAUGGAUGUGACUACAAACGAGUUUCCCUUUGCAAAUGAAUGCAUAUAAAUGUCAAACAAUUAAAUUAUCAUUAUUUUACUAACGGAAGUUUAUUAGUUCAUAUUUGUUUGUUUCAUUAAUAUCUAAAAUACAUGAUACAUGCAUCUGUUUCAAAACAUUUAAGUUAUAAUUAAAAUUUCCUUUUGGCGACACUGAGAUCCUUCUGGUUCAGUCAUAGUCAUUUUGGUAAAAAUGUUUGACAUCGCCGAAUUCAAACCUAAUUUGCUACGAUAUUCCGAUCCUUUUCGAUGUCCCGGGUUGGUGGUUCAAUGCAUAGGGCGCUGGUUUUUUACAAGCCAGUUGUCGUCUGGCUUAAAGUCGUUUUGCAAAACGGUUUUCUAUUACAAUGGAUGGUUUCAUAGUUAUACUUAUCAUAGCUAAUUGGUCGCUGAGAAUACUUUAACUCUUGUUCAAAAAAGUUUAUCUGAUAACAUGCUAGGUUUCUUCGUUAAUUUUCAAAAGGUAACAACUGAAUCAAAUUAUGUUGGACUUUUCAUUUAACACCACGGUCGUCUUUUUUUUUUAUUUUUUUAAAUAACUAUUUAUUGGAAUAUGAGUUAAAAUUAAAUUAUUAAGAUUUAAAUUGGGUGUUCAGCCACAAGUGGUGACUUUUCAGCCCUAUUAUAUAUAUAUAUAUAUGAUUUGGUUAUUACCAUGAGGACAUUAUUUGCUUCCGCAAUUCUGAGAUUUUUGUGUAGGGAAAAUUCUAAACCUACUUGUAUUGUGUAAUGGGGAAAAGGAACUUAUAUACUAACUUACUAACUAAUACAGAGAGCGAAUCGAUUCAAUUGAAGAUUGCAUCGAUUUUUGUCGGAAUUUGCUUAUAAUAUUAUGUGACAUUACAUCUAAUGGUUCUAUAUUUGUGAGUCUGUGUAACUCAUUUGUACUAAACCAGGGAGGACGCUUCAAAAUCAUUUUCAGAAUUUUAUUCUGAAUCCUUUGAAGCGUUUUCUUCCUGGUGAAACAACAACUUGACCAAAUUGGUACUGCAUAAAGCAUGGCUGGUCUGAAAAUUUGUUUAUAAAUUAACAAUUUGUAUUUAGACAGAGCUUAGAAUUUCUGUUUAUAAGAGGAUAUAAACAUUUAAUAUAUUUAUUACACUUUGCCUGGAUUCCUUCAAUGUGAUCCUUGAAAGUGAGUUUUUACCACGGUCGUCUUAUUAACAGCCCAAAUAUGAUGAUUGAUUAAGCACUGUACUAAAAAAAAUGCAACAUCACCAACAAAUUAUUCUAAGUUGGAGUUUUAAACUCUUAGGAACUAAAUGAUAACAUAUAAGUUAUGUUUUUGGCGAGUUGGUUUAUUCAACCUCAUCUCCUACGGUAAAUAUCGGCACGUUGAACUCGAUACUCCCUCUAUGCAACAUUUGCGCCAUCUUUCUUACACUAUUUCUUCAAAUCCUUGUCGUUUUUGAGAGCCUUCCCAGUUUAUUAAAGCGUUCCCGGUAUAAUCACCCAGAAUUGUUCUCUUGAGCGAAAUUCUGCCGAGUUUAACAGAUGUACCUCUAUCGGUAAAAAUAGAAACUUGAUUUCGUACCACUCCAUCACCGGUUUUGUGUAACGGCACGAUGCCAGAUCCUCCCAAAACAGAUUGUCACCUUCGUGGGACCGGAGGAAGGACAACAGGCGUUUCCUGGGGCAUUGAUGAUGCCUGCAGAAUUCACCGUAUCCACUCUAAACUAGUUAUUCUUAAAAUUUCAAUUUUCAGUUAUCAAAUAAAAUGUUUUACACAAAGAAGUGUUGCAUUUUUUUCGAAUACAGUCGAAUUUUCCCGAAACAACGAACAAUAAUUCUAGCUACUCCAAUUGUAUUUAAAUAAAAGAUGUAUCAAGCCAAAUGUAUCCUUAUGGUAAAUGGUCUCAAACCAAACGGAUCUCAAUUCCAAACUAAAAACUUCUUGUAAUGCUGUUACUAUUUAUAAUUUUCGUAUCUUCGUAGGACUAUGGCAAUGAAAAACACGCAUUCGACUUAAAGUCCACCAAGAUCGAUCGUUACAACCAAUUUAGAACUAUAAAAACCAGCUCUAUUUUGUGCGCAGUUGGUUGCACUCAACAAAUCCAAUGCUUAUUAUUGUUUCAAUCACUUUAUUAUAAAACAAAGCGAAAAUAUUUGUGUAUUAUGAAAUGCAUGAGUCUGUUUAACUGGUGUAAAAAUCUGUACCAUUCCAUCGAGUGUAAAAUAAUGUCGUGUACAUGGGAAAGCAUCUUUAGCGUUGAACAUACUCGAACAAUCGCAAGAACGAAAAAUCAGUUUAAUAAUAAGCAGCUAAUCCUACAAUAAACGAAAGACUUGUAACGGAUACGCAACACACAAAUACAAAUACCACAACCUAAACAUAAUAAACUCAUGGUUCCCAGUCGAAGUAAUUUAAAAAAAAUUCUUUCAUGCGCGAGUAUAAAAUAAAAAGACUUUCGACUUAAGACAGUCGACUUAAGACAGUCAAACUUAAUUAGUAAAAACAAAAGUGAAAAAAAAACAAGCAAACAUUGCUCAGGUACAUACAGCAACAAAGAAAGAAACAAACAUACAAACAAAUACCUACAUACAAAACAAAAUACAAAGACUUACAAACAGUGAAACACUGAACUCUCAAUCUAAAAUAGGUGAAGCGAGGAAAAACAUAAAACAGAUAACAAUAAAAGUGGAGUGAUGUGACAUUUUUCCUUCUUGCUAAACAUAAAAAGAGAACAAGUGCAAACGCGUGUGGGUGAGUGAGAGUGUGCUAGUGGUACAUAAAGAAAUCGAGAGAGUAUCUGGGAGAUCUAUCUACUGGUGAUGAAUGUUCCAAAAAGUCAAAUAUUUAUACUGUAAGCGGUAAAUGAUAAACGUAUUAGGGUUUCAGUUACUCCUGUUUAGCUAGACGAACAAUGAAUGUGAGUGGAACAUGGAACAUUUUUAGUCUCUAAUGCGAAUUUCCAGAUGAGAAUCGAGGAACUUAGGAAUCAGUUUCUGUAAAACUCUGAAAUGUCGAAAAACAAAAUCAGAAUUUAAACGGAACCUAACCGAAACCAAUGAAUAACAAACUAUGUACUGGGGAAAUAUGAAAAAAAAAAUCCAUUAGAAUAUAAGUAGGAAUUUAUCGGAAUUAUAAUGAACUAUACAUACUGACACACCUAGACGCAAAUGAAAUAAGUUGAAUUAUGAAAUAAUAAAAAUGAAAACAACUGUGAUUUGAGAAAGCUUUUCAGCAACAAUCAUACUAAUGUUAGUGAAACAUUCACAAAUUGACAGGCUUAAAAGCAAAAAUAAAUGAAUUGAAAUUUACAAAUCAUGCACUCGGACAAGAUCAUGGGUGUUAGAAAAACAAAGCGGAGAAAGCUUUCUCAAGAAAUGAAUGACUGAUUUUAAACGAACCUUAACGUAAUACCAACUUUGUAGAGAAGAGUGCGUGGAUUCCAACAGCGUGUGUAAGUAAAUGAGUGUUCCAAGAAUAUUCGAAAUAGUUAUUUGUUUCGUUCAUAUUAAUCAAACUUACUUUACAUCCUACAACAAAAACAUUGAGUAACCGUGGUUCAUUGAGUGAGUGCGGGAUCAAUGUAUCUUUUAUCGUAAGUAGAGUUUGAAAUACAAAACCCAUCUCAUCAAUAAUAUGGAAACCUCCAAAGGGGGAAACUGGGUUAGCGAAAUAUCAAAAAGAAUUAUCAUGUUCGUAUAAUAUAUACAUUUUAAAUAAUAAGGAAACCGUGUAACAAAAAUCCAACAAAAGUAGGCUAAUCACAUGAACUAGAUUGAAACUUUGGAGGUUUCGAAACAACUGAUUUCAUAGUGCGUCCGGAGAAGGGAUAAUAUUGACUGUGACUGUAUAGAAUUCCAAGAAAAUACAUACCGAAAUGAAUAUUUUUAUAACAGUGUGCGAAAAAUAUAUCUGACAUAGUUGCUUGAGAGUUAUGUAAGACGAGGAUGCCACGAUGGACCUUUAUACAACGGACUGACACACUUAGAAUUGGCCAUACAAUAAUGAAAAAAAAUCAUGAGUUUCUAGGAAACAUGAGUGCUUAAAAAUAGUUGAUAACUGCGAAAGUGUUAACUGUAUGUCUGCUUCUCUGUAUGUAUGUUCAAAUAGUGUAAAGAGACAAACAAUAAGAAAAUAAGUGUAAACUCUGUUAAUUUCACGAUUGUGUAUUUCAAAGUGUCUGAUGAAUUCCGCGUGAAAAAAAUAAGCCAUAGAAGUAAAAAAGCAGUAUGUAAAUGAGCGCUGUGAGAGAUUGUGUUGCGAGACUGGAGAACGAUUCCUAGCGUAAGACGCGUGUUAGUGGUAAGUGAGUGUAGGUCCAUUUGCAAGUAAGAUCGAUUGUCUGUACAUUUGAUGCUUGGUGACUGAAUAAAAAUUACAUGACUGCCAAAAAACAUUAUCUUGUCUUAUUUAUUUUUCUGUAUAUCAGUGAAAGGCGAGAAAACAAACCGUAGGAAUCAGGAUAAUAAGGUAUCACAAUAGUUGUGAUGUUGUUUUUUAUUAAAAGCGAUGAGCGGGUAACUUUUGUUAAAUGGUGAUUUUUUUCGAUUAUGAGACAAAUAAGUUUUGUAUGAAAUGGAAAUAAACGAGGAAAACGA